rnacentral:lncRNA from 10 species
CAGGGAUUAAGCACAGAGUAGAGGAAUCAACCAUAACAGGACAGCAUUAGGUAGUUCUUUGGGGGGAAUUAGAAUUCUUCUGCAUCGUGACUGUGGUAGUAGUUACAUGGCUUGGUGAGUUUGUCAAAAUUCGUAGAACUAUACACCAAAAAGAAUGAAAUUUACUGAAAGAUACAUUUUAAAAUAAAAUAAAAUAAACCCCAGGUAUUCAUGGCUCUACUUCCAAUGCCCAAGCUGCCUUGAGCUUCUGAGCUCUAAUGGAUGAAAAGGUGGAUGGAUAUAGGGUUUGCCUGCAAGCCUUGUCCAAGCCCUGUGAUUUCACUCACAUUAUAGGUUGAGUUCUCUGGGAAGCAGACUCUGAGUUGGAGAUUAGCACCCAGGAUAUCUUUUUGUUUUGUUUUUUUUUUGAG